AUGAACGCUGGCGGCGUGCCUAAUACAUGCAAGUCGAGCGAACAGACGAGGAGCUUGCUCCUCUGACGUUAGCGGCGGACGGGUGAGUAACACGUGGAUAACCUACCUAUAAGACUGGGAUAACUUCGGGAAACCGGAGCUAAUACCGGAUAAUAUAUUGAACCGCAUGGUUCAAUAGUGAAAGACGGUUUUGCUGUCACUUAUAGAUGGAUCCGCGCCGCAUUAGCUAGUUGGUAAGGUAACGGCUUACCAAGGCAACGAUGCGUAGCCGACCUGAGAGGGUGAUCGGCCACACUGGAACUGAGACACGGUCCAGACUCCUACGGGAGGCAGCAGUAGGGAAUCUUCCGCAAUGGGCGAAAGCUUGACGGAGCAACGCCGCGUGAGUGAUGAAGGUCUUCGGAUCGUAUAACUCUGUUAUUAGGGAAGAACAAAUGUGUAAGUAACUAUGCACGUCUUGACGGUACCUAAUCAGAAAGCCACGGCUAACUACGUG
rnacentral:rRNA from 1 species